UACAGAGGGGGCAAGCGUUUGUUCGGAAUUACUGGGCGUAAAGGGCGCGUAGGCGGCCUUCUAAGUCGAACGUGAAAUCCCUGGGCUCAACCCAGGAACUGCGUCCGAUACUGGGAGGCUUGAAUCCGGGAGAGGGAUGCGGAAUUCCAGGUGUAGCGGUGAAAUGCGUAGAUAUCUGGAGGAACACCGGUGGCGAAGGCGGCAUCCUGGACCGGCAUUGACGCUGAGGCGCGAAAGCCAGGGGAGCAAAGCGGG
rnacentral:rRNA from 1 species